ACGCCGCGUGAGUGAUGAAGGUUUUCGGAUCGUAAAGCUCUGUUGCCAGGGACGAAAAGCGAGGAGAGUAACUGCUCUUCGUGUGACGGUACCUGAGAAGAAAGCCCCGGCUAACUACGUGCCAGCAGCCGCGGUAAUACGUAGGGGGCAAGCGUUGUCCGGAAUUAUUGGGCGUAAAGCGCGCGCAGGCGGCCAUUUAAGUUUGGUGUAUAAUCCCGGGGCUCAACCCCGGGCCGCACCGAAAACUGGGUGGCUUGAGUGCGGGAGAGGAAAGUGGAAUUCCACGUGUAGCGGUGAAAUGCGUAGAUAUGUGGAGGAACACCAGUGGCGAAGGCGACUUUCUGGACCGUAACUGACGCUGAGGCGCGAAAGCGUGGGGAGCAAACAGGAUUAGA
rnacentral:rRNA from 2 species